CUGCCAGCCACCAGCCCACCACUGGCCCGCCACCGUGGUCUCGCCGGCUGGCUGCCAUCCACCGCUCAAGGUGCCGUGCUGGAGUUCCGUCUCUAUGGCUCUCUCUCUCUCUCUCUCUCGCGCAACCAACACCACGGUCUUGUGUUUCGCCAUCUGGUCGCCGUCCACCGCCCCCAACUUCGCGCUCGAGGCACUGCUCCCGUUUUGGCUCGAUUUUCUUUCGCGGGUCCGACGCCUCUGAUUUCGCCGUACGGCUCCUGUUCUCGUUCUUAGUCUCGUUUACAAAGACUGUCUGUUCUUGUUUUCCACAUCAUUCGAUUUUGGCGAAACAAAUGUGAUUCAUUUUUUUUCGCGAGGACCCGAUUGUAAGAGUCGAGAACAGUGGGAAUCGAGUGGACGUUAAGAGCUUGCCGGUCUCCGUUCUUUUCUCCCUUCUCGUCUGAAGAGUGACAAGCCAAAACCAAAAACCCAUGGACAAGAGCAUUGAGUUUGUGUUAAAUCUUCUCAUUCUAAUUUAAAAUUUUGGGUGAAUUACCUGUUAAAUUCUUCACAUUGGUCUGGCUUCAGGAAGUUGACAUGCCUGAGCAGAGGUAAAAGGGUUUUACUCUCCUCCACGUCACAUGCUGAGCGUCUGUGGGUUUAGGAUCUUGAUUGAUUGUCCCCUAGACCUGUCUGCUCUCGCUGUUUUCGCCCCCAAACCUCCCGGGUUUUCUAGUGCAAGAUGAAGAAGAUAUGGAACAUUCAGUUGAUGAGUCCGAUGGCUGUGAAUCUGGGAAUGAAGAGAGGGAGAAUACUGAGAAACCCAUGACUGCAAAGGCUUUGAUUCGUUCCAAACCGUGGUACAAACCUGUGGCGAACCUGCACUUGUGGAAUCCCUCGUUCAUCAAUGUAGUGUUGAACACUCGAGCCCUGCUGGAAUGCUCGGGUCGCCUUUUCUUACUUGAGCGAAGGGCUUCUCAGUGAAGGUAUAUGUAACCGAGGCAGCAGCGAAACUUGGGAAACUUAUGAUGGAGGACCUUGUUUCGAUGCAUGAGGAAUUCAGGUAGUUGUAUGGGUCUAAAGAAUCCAGUAGUCCUCACUGGAUGAAGUGGUAGGAGCUGGAAUCACGUCCUUCUGCAUUGAAGGAGAUAGUAUUGGGCAGUGAUGGGAUUGAGCUUGGUGGAUGGAUCCCAUUAUAUAGCUGACAUAGAGGAUUGUGUUAAGAAGGUUCAAAGACUUGAAUAUGCGGAAGUGGCAUGCUACAAUGGCACAUUAAGUAUCAAACCAAUCAGCUCUGGGUUGGAAGUAGGAGUGUGUAAUUGGACGAUAAGAUAUCCAGAUGGAAUGAUAGGAUUUGUCUUGAGCUUUAAAUUUGUUCCUGGUCAUGUUUGGAGUUUAAUUAUAAUGCUCUUUGAUUGUGUGAUGUGCUGAUAUAUUCAGAUUUUUCGUCUCUGGAUAACUUGGAAACUGCCAACAAGGGGAGUAAUUACACUACUCUUGAGGAUUCUUCACUUCGAGGUGGGAACUCCUUUUGCACGUUUGAACAGCAGUGUGAUCUUGUGCUUCAGAACCACAAAGAGCUACAAACAUAAUCCUCCUAUUGUUUUGCUGGAUAAAAAUCACUGGCUGUGGUCAACCUGGUAGUGUUAUCUCCUAGGUGAUCAUGCAGGUCUCAGUAUUUUAUUUUUUGCAAUUGCUUUUGCGAAUUAGAGUCCUGGCCGCUCUCACUGCUGCACGUGAAGUUUAUGUCCAAUGUACUUCCUGAAUAAGAUAUUCCGGAAUGAAAAAGGCAAUCGAUAUUUUCAGAAAAAUGGUUCUCCAGAGUUCUCUGUCUUAUAAAUAAAAAGAGUCCUUGUAAUACCAUUUGUUCUCUCCAUAGGUUCCCAUAUUUGUUAUCUGGUCAGUAGCAGAAGAGUUAUUGGCAUAUACCAACAUAAUACCCGAGUGGGUGUGCAAACAAAGGCAAGAAAAGUUGUUCUCUGGCGAGCCAUUAUUUGCCCAUGCCGAGCUUUUGAAUGGAGAAAGGCUGCAAGUGUAUCCUGCAAUUUACUCGCCUAAGCUAUUGUAAGACUUCAAUGACAGGAGCCGUGCAUUGUAUUUUGUCCUUACUGGAGUUUUCGACUUGGCCCAGCUGUUCAUUUGCUCAGACGCUGGCAUGGAGAUGAAAAAUCAUUACUCAUCUGGUAGGAUGGCAUGGAUAGUGAUAUAGCUCUCUUGCCUUUUGAUCCAAAGUAGAUGAAGAUGAAGGUCCUUCGAUGUCAUUUCUUUCAGGAGUAGUGUAAGGACUGCAUUAGCUAUUUCGCCGUUUCUUCAUGAGACUGAACUACUCCACCGGUCCAAUUGCUUUGCAUUCAUGCAUGUACAUCAACUAUAAAAAUAUUAUGCUUGCACAUUUUAUCUCACGGAUCGACCUCACUUGUCAGUUGAAGAAGGUUCAACCUUUAAUCCAUGUAUUGCAACCAAAGUUUGUUGUGAUGGUUACCUGAAGAUUUUAGGCAGCAAACCAUAUCACCAGUCACAGACUGAUACUCACUCCUUCACUUCUCUGUGAACGAGACAUUAAAGCUGCCUACCCUGAAGGAAGAUUUAGAACUAGAAAUCACAGCAGACUUGAUCUCCCAAUUACGUUGGAAAAACUUGAACGACCAAAAUUUGAGCAUCACAAGAGUGAAAGGAAACCUUGUCAUGAGAGAAACCAGAAGGCGGAUUCUACCUAGCAGUGAGCCAUCCUGCUCAAAAAGUGAACCCCCGUUGCUUUGGGGGGCUCCAGACUUGCAGAGGCUCCUGGGUUGUUUAUCAGAGAUGGGUAUUGGCGGAUCUCUACAAGAAGACAGUGUCACAGAUGGAUCAAGCGAUGCUUGUAUCGUGUGCAUCGACGCUCCUAGUGAAGCUUGAAAUUAGGAGCACGAGCACUUUAAUUAGUGCUGCAAAUGAGGAGUUGGCUUUCCUCAUUAGGGAUGCCGUGGACAGCAUCCUGGAUGGUACUUGAUCUCGUGUCUUAUCUGUACUCUUUGACUUAGAAAUGAGCUAACCAAAGAAGUUGCUUCUCGGCAUAAUGUUGUUGGGGGUUACAUUGAUGCUGGAAUGUUUUGAUUUAUGCUUGGAGAGCAAGAGAUAUACUGAAAGCCAGCAUGCACAUAUCUGUGAGUGGACCACAAGUCAGUGUGGAAACAUAGAAUAUAUUGCUAAACACACCAUGGCAUGGCUGACAGGUUGAAAUAUGAAUAUCAAAGAUCUGGCAAUUUGGUUUCUUUCGGGUGAUGUCGUGGCUCAAACCGUGCCUGAAUCCAAAUGUUAAGUACCAGUCUCGAUUGAAAUUCAA